UACGGGGGGAGCAAGCGUUGUUCGGAUUUACUGGGCGUAAAGGGCGCGUAGGCGGCCAGCACAAGUCAGUUGUGAAAUCUCCGAGCUUAACUCGGAAAGGUCAACUGAUACUGUGCGGCUAGAGUGCGGAAGGGGCAACUGGAAUUCUUGGUGUAGCGGUGAAAUGCGUAGAUAUCAAGAGGAACACCUGCGGCGAAGGCGGGUUGCUGGGCCGACACGUGACGCUGAGGCGCGAAAGCGUGGGGAGCAAACAGG
rnacentral:rRNA from 1 species